GACGAACGCUGGCGGCGUGCUUAACACAUGCAAGUGGUGCGACGAACCAGGGCUUGCCCUGGGGCCAAGCCGCGAACGGGUGAGUAACACGUGAGUAACCUGCCCCGAUGACCGGGACAACCCGAGGAAACUCGGGCUAAUACCGGAUGUGGCGCACAAUCGUAAGUUUGUGCGCUAAAGGAAGCUUCGGCCUCCGCAUUGGGAGGGGCUCGCGGCCCAUUAGCUUGUUGGUGGGGUAACGGCCUACCAAGGCAACGAUGGGUAGCUGGUCUGAGAGGACGAUCAGCCACACUGGGACUGAGACGCGGCCCAGACUCCUACGGGAGGCAGCGGUGGGGAAUCUUGCGCAAUGCGCGAAAGCGUGACGCAGCAACGCCGCGUGGGGGAAGACGGCCUUCGGGUUGUAAACCCCUUUCAGGAGGGACGAAGGUUCACCGGUGAACAGCCGUGUGGAUUGACGGUACCUCCAGAAGAAGCUCCGGCUAACUACGUGCCAGCAGCCGCGGUAAUACGUAGGGAGCAAGCGUUGUCCGGAAUCAUUGGGCGUAAAGCGCGCGUAGGCGGCCUCAUAAGUCCGUUGUGAGAGUCAAAGGCUCAACCUUUGAAAGCCGAUGGAUACUG
rnacentral:rRNA from 1 species